UGACAGUACUCCUACGGGGAGGCAGCAGUGGGGGAAUAUUGCACAAUGGGCGCAAGCCUGAUGCAGCCAUGCCGCGUGUGUGAAGAAGGACCUUCGGGUUGUAAAGCACUUUCAGUCGUGAGGAAGGUAGUGUAGUUAAUAGCUGCAUUAUUUGACGUUAGCGACAGAAGAAGCACCGGCUAACUCCGUGCCAGCAGCCGCGGUAAUACGGAGGGUGCGAGCGUUAAUCGGAAUUACUGGGCGUAAAGCGCAUGCAGGUGGUUUGUUUAAGUUCAGAUGUGAAAGACCCGGGGCUCAACCUCGGAAUAGCAUUUGAAACUGGCAGACUAGAGUACUGUAGAGGGGGGUAGGAAUUUCAGGUGUAGCGGUGAAAUGCGUAGAGAUCUGAAGGAAUACCAGUGGCGAAGGCGGCCCCCUGGACAAAGACUGACGCUCAGAUGCGAAAGCGUGGGGAGCAAACAGGAUUAGAUACCCUGGUAG
rnacentral:rRNA from 1 species